rnacentral:rRNA from 1 species
UACGAAGGGGGCUAGCGUUGCUCGGAAUGGACUGGGCGUAAAGGGCGCGUAGGCGGUUUGUACAGGUCAGGUGUGAAAUUCCUGGGCUCAACCUGGGGGCUGCACUUGAUACGUAUGGACUGGAGUGGGGAAGAGGGUCGUGGAAUUCCCAGUGUAGAGGUGAAAUUCGUAGAUAUUGGGAAGAACACCGGUGGCGAAGGCGGCGACCUGGUCCGUUGACUGACGCUGAGGCGCGAAAGCGUGGGGAGCAAACAGGAUUAGACGUACCCGAG